AAAAAAUAAUCCGCUAAUUUGAACUUUGGCAAUAAAUAAUGCAUCUUUUGCGAAUUCGAAAUAUGUAUAUAGCCACUUUUUGUUUUGUUUCAAAAGAAGAAUAACUGCUUCGAGUGUUAGAAGAAGUUUAAUGUCCAUUUAUUCAAAAACCAUUGAAGCUAUCAUAAUUUAGUUUUCAUCAAACGGUUGCGCGUUAUUUGUGCUUAAAGACAGCUAAUACGUUAUUUUCGAGAUCAAAUAAAAUUGAAAUUGCCAGAGCUACGUCUGAGAAACUUGCAUCUUCUAGAAGUAACCUUUUCUGCCACUUUCAAUAUGAAAAAUGACCAAGUAAUAAUGGGCAUUUGAUGUGGUGGAUUUCAAAAUGCUACUUAUAAUAUACAAAGAACUAGGUGCUGUUUUGGGACCUUUUCGUAUCUAUGUUUAUUAUGGGUAUAGGACCUGGACUUAACUCUGCAGAUAGAUAUUAUUGUAAGGUGAAAAAUAAGCCUGUGACUAAUAUGGACUUAAACAAAUUGAAUUCAAAGCUUAAGUCAUAAAAGACAUCCCCCCCGGAAGGAGGGUAACGAUCAAAGCAUCAAAUGGAUUGCUGAAGAAUGAGAUUUUUGUGGCUCGUAAUUGGUUAGGUUAGCAGUUGUAGGACUAGAAGGAACAGAAGAACACUUAAUUACGGAGCACUUCUUGUAUCAGUCCUCAUUUGCCCCAGAAAGAAGCUAUUCCUAUGGUCUUAAAGAAAGCAUGAAUGUGCCUUUUUUCCAUAAGAGAACAAAAGACAGUGUGCUGAAGAAAGGAUUUAUGACAAUGAACUGGUAUGUAACAGUAUUAAUUAAAAAUAGUAAACGAGGUCCCACAAACAUCCAUUCCCUAAACUUCCAAAAAGCCUGGUUGGGUUUUUAGCUCCACUAAAUUUUGCUGAUUUUGCCACAAAAAUUUAUAAAGAACAUCGAUUUGCAACUUCCAAUCCCCAAUUUAAAAGGAUUUUUUUCUUCAUUAUAAAUAUUUUGAACCCUGAUUUUGAAAGCCGAGUCGUUAAUAUGUAAAAAAAAUCAGAUUUGCUACUGCAGCCUGACUCAGGAUACUUUGGAGUGAAAUGGGUUGCCUAUAUGAAAGACCAACAGUCGCUAGCGGUAUUUAAAAUAAUUUGAAUUUUAAAUUCACACCGUCCUGCGAAAUUAAAUAAGUGCGCUGUUGUCGAGAUAAAGGUAGAAAUAUUACAGUGCAAGUCGAAAUUUGUAAGCAACUAAAUUUUUAGAUUUUAAUAAAAUAAUUUA